UGACCGACUCUUCGUAACCUGUCACUCCUCUGUGUGCUCGCAUACGGAUCUCCUACCUCGCCCCUUGCCAGAUAUCUCUAUGACUCGUACUCGACGUAGCGCACCGACCGUCCAAACCGAACAAAAUAAACCGAGUCUCUUUAAAAAUGAUUAAAGGAAAAACCGAUCGCGACAAAGAUGAGGAUGACAACGGGAACGACAACGAAGACGACGCGAUGAAAACGAUAGAAACGAGGGCCGCCGGGUCGACGACGAAAACCACUGCCGCCAACUUGCCAUCUUGCGGACAUUACUGUAAACAAUUUAAGACUUCGGCCGUAGUUUCAAAGUUCUGCGUGCUCGUUAAAAAUUAAUAUUCAUCACGCUAAUGAAGUAUUGUAGAAGUUUCUACUAACGAUAAUGUCAAUGAACAAAUAAUGGAGAUGAAAUAAUGUAACAAUCCUGGCGGUGAAAAUAUCGGCGCAGAAUAUUUCAAACUAUUUUAAAUCUUUUCGGUAGAUGUAGGUCAAAAUUGUUAUCCCCGCCGCUCGAAAUUCACGGCGAAAAUUACUAUGAAAUCCGAGAACCAAUUUCUUUCAAUAAUAAUCUCCAAUGAAAUAGUCAAAUAUAAUGUUAAAGCAAACAUCUAAAUAUAAUUCACGUUUUCGAGCAUGCAUUUGGGAUAAUUAUUCAUAGAUAUCUACAGCGCAUUGUAUAAGUUGAUAACUAUAAUUUAAGUACAAUGACAAAUAAGAGUGUUAAGCAUGACCAGUAGAUUGUAGAUAUUUAUUUAGAUUCAUAUCUUUACAAACAUAAUUAAAAAAUGGAACCUUAGUGGAGAUAUAUUUUACCUAUCAAAUAUUAUAACGAAUACUAUACUUUGGUAUUUUUGCAUCUACAAAUUAUUCAUAAAUACAUAGCAAUUCACAGUUUAAUGAUUAGCAUAGUCAACAAAGUGACAUCGUAAUCGAUAUGACUAUAGAUAAACAAAUAAGAAGAAGAGGAAGAAAAUUUCUGUUUUGUUGUUAGAUUUACCUCUGUUAAAUUUACUAUUCAUAUAUUCUUGAAAUAAUUUGUGCAUGGAAGGCCUAAGAAAUCUCUAUGUAUCGCUCAAUGAAGAUGCACAGCAUUAAACCUUUUACAUGCGAGCAAGACAAAAUUGUGCGAUAUUUGUUUGUUAGCCGAUCGAGGCAGAAAAGAAUAAGCAAGUGGACCAGAAUAUGAGUAACUCUGACUAACAGCAGAAAGAACAGAAAGUAUAAUGCUGUGUAAUGCCUUGCGGGAUGUUAUGUAAUGGUUAUCCCAGUCUUGACGAUCGGGG
rnacentral:misc_RNA from 1 species